rnacentral:lncRNA from 1 species
UUUGUUUGUUUUCUUUUUUGGCUACCACACAGCAUGUGGAGUUCCUGGGCCAGGGAUCAGAUCCAAACGGCAGUUGCAACCUACACUGGAUCCUUCAACCCGCUGUGCCAGGCUGGGGAUCGAACCUGCUCCCUGGCGCUGCAGAGACACCACCAAUUCCAUUGCACCACAGCGGGAAUUCCUCGGCCACCUGCUUUUGAUGUGAGCUAUGCUGGGCUGCAGCCCAUGAGUUGGGCCCCUCCAGGUUAAAGCUAAAACGCUUAUCCCACAGCCAACGGCGUAAUGCCCACACCCUAUCAGUUUCCUUCUUGGUCAGUUCAGCAUCUUUCGGGGGCGGGUGCCCGCUGCAGGCACUGGGGCCCCCGGAAUGAAUCAGGCAUGAGGUCCUCCAGGUGGGGCCACUGCCCCACUUGGAGACAGACACGCCUGGAAUAACUACAUCAUAGGGUUUUUACUGAAACUACUUCCCAAGGGACCUGGGCAUAUUCCUGAUUCCUGUUAUGCUUUCAGAAGAAAGAGAAUUCUGUGACGUGACAGCGCAGAACUUCUGGGAACCAAAGUGUUCUUGUGAGGGGUCCCUCAGUUCACAGGAACCCCAAGCACUGUCUGGAGACCAAAUAAAUAAAACUACUCUCGCAUCUGCACGUGACAGCGUGCUGGCAGCGGCUAUAACCAACGCACCAGCCCAGCUGCCCUGCACGGCCUGGAGGUCUGCGCCGCUGGGUGGUGGCUGGCCUUGGCCAUCCGCCGUCAAGCAGCAUGUCCCCCAAACGCCCCGGUGUGUCCAGGUGAGGUGCGGGGGGGCAGCACGCGUGGCUGAGGACGGACAGAAUGGAGACUUCAGCGUGGGAUGGAGACGGACACGGGGCCAGCGCCUGGGCCGCGUCACGGACAGCGGCAGGUCCCUGCGAGCCGGAUCUCGGCACCGCCCACGGAGACCACGCGCCGCGCCCAGCAACGGGCCCAAGGGCCUCGGGGACGCGGCCCCGGACUUCUCGGCGGCGGUUCUCCUUCCGCAGAGCCGGCCUCGCGCUCGUCCCAAGUGCGACCUGGGACCAGCGCGAAGGCCCUCAACGCGGCGGUCCCUCGGCCGCCAAGUCCCAGGAGCCACCUCUGUGCUCCGCAGAGGACACAUCACGCACGUCCCCCAGAGACCGUCCACGCCACCACUGAAAACCCUGUUUUCAAAGAAGCCUGAAUGACACGGAAAACGCUCAGAAUGAACGUUCAAGUCUCCAGAGCGGGACAGGCCGCGACUCGGUUCGCACAGGAUUUUGCCCCGAAAGGGACAAGACGAGCUUGACCAGUGGACGGGAGGGAAGGACAGACAGCCAGGCUGAAGGAAAUACACCGAGAUCCUGCCUGCUGGACUCCCUCCCUGUUCACCCUGGACUCUCCACAACGAGCCCCUGUGAGCUUUAAGCAUCAGAAAGGUGCCGGACGUGCUGAGAAGCAACCUAACAGGUAAACCCAGUGGUGAGGACACGGUUCCAAGGGACGAGCAGCUCGCGCAGGCGGCCCCGGGCAGGGGUUCGAGGAGCAUGGAGCUGGGAUGCUGCCAGCAGAGGGCGGGCAGAGCUCCCUGGCUAAGGGGCUCCUAAGGCUCCAGGAGGGGGUGCCGAAGAGCACCUAGAGGCAGCCCGGGGCUGGAUGAGGGGCCCUGGGGCAGGCACCGGGGCUCCGGUGGGCAGCAGAGGAGGGCUCCAGCCAGCACCCACAUGACCUCAUGCCCGCCCCCACCCCACCCCCACCAGCCAGGCUCAUGCCCAUGCUGCGAGUGCAGCACCGGGGUUCAGAGAGGCUGACCUCCCCUCCGCCACACAGCCAGCAAGCAGGGCAGAGGGGGCACCCAGCUUUACCUGACCCAGGCCCAGGGUCCCCGGCCCUUCCAGGGUCAGCACUGGUGGGAAAAACAACUGCACAACGGCAAGAGGACCACAACCCCACCCCGAGCCGUGCCACUGGGUUGGCUCUGCUUUGCUACCAACAGGGCAAUCUUGUAUUAAGAACGGGGCAGUGCUCCCUCCGUGAGCACCGUCUGUGAGCACCCCCCGGCCUCUGGCGAGGAGGAAAACCGCACUCUCCAGGGAUGCUGGCAAAGCAGUACCAACAGCAAAAUGCCAACCAGUCGCAGAAGGCGUCAGAGCAGGCUGCGUCCCCUCAAAUGCUAAGAAUUGUGAGUCUACCAAAAUAACAACAAAGCGGCUCUUUUCGUUUUUCAUAGUGGACUAAUAGAAAAAAAUGCAUCGCAUACCCUGAAACAUAAUCAUAAUUAUGUUGUCAGCUAAUUCUGAUGAAGAUGCUAUAAUUCGGAGGCAUUUUUAGGUUCAAUUACUGUGCGCUCGUCCUUAUCAAAAGGAUUCAAAGGGAAAAUGACGUGUUCAACACAAGGAAAAUUACAGAAAUCUGGGGUUUGAGCAUCCAAUUUUUAUGAAUUUUUGCCAACUUUUAACCAGCUACUCCGUACUGUUAAAAAGGAAAAUCUUAAAAUAACCACAUAAACAAGUCCUUGAUUCUGAACUCUGAUUUGCAAACACUCCUAGCUGGGAACAGCCAAGUCCUGUCCAUAACCUCUGACUGCCCACCUACUCACCCCGACCCGCAGAUCAGACACUCAGAAGGCCUUUCUCCCCUCCCAGAAGAAGGUCAUGAACUUGAGGGGCCUGCAGGUCCCAGGAGGGUGGAUGGGACCCUUUGUUCCAGGGAGGGUCCCUGGGAGCUGUGGGUUCCUGGGAACUGAGAGUCCCUGGGAGCUGUGGGUUCCUGGGAACUGAGAGUCACUGGGAACUCUGGGUCUCUGGGAGCUGAGGGUCCCUGGGAGCUGAGGGGUCCCUGGGAGCUGAGGGUCCCUGGGAACUCUGGGUCUCUGGGAACUGAGGGUCCCUGGGAACUCUGGGUCUCUGGGAACUGAGGGUCCCUGGGAACUGAGGGUCCCUGGGAACUGAGGGUCCCUGGGAGCUGAGGGUCCCUGGAAGCUGAGGGUCACUGGGAGCUGAGGGUCCCUGGGAACUGAGGGUCACUGGUGGGGUGACCGGGCCUCUUGCCCCUUCACGCGUCAGCUGGACUGGCCUGCUCCAGAGGGACCCUUCCCCAAAUCUCAGGCCCUCGAGUCAAAGGCCAAAGAGGGUCAGCCCAGCCCUCGGCUGAAGUCACACGCUCCGGCCGGCUCCCAGCACGCAGACAAGGGCAUCCGCCCUUUGUGCCGUUAUCCUUUGCUAAGUCCAUCUCCUGUGGGGGCUCAAGAGCGGGACGGGACCCAGGCAGCCAGGUCUCCCGGCCUGUGCCCCCCGUUUUCAAAUGACCAUUAUUAUGGGUACAGAAGUCACAGGGCGAACACAUGCUCACUCUGCAAGAUCGAGUAACACAGAAGCACGCCGAGCAGAGACACCCCUCCCAUCCCUCUGAGAAGGUCGGCGUCCCUGAGCUUUUGCUGGGUGAACCCAGGACAGAGAGAGAGGCAACUCCGUAUGCCCCUGCCCUCCCCCUUCCCACCUGGGGGGCCCUGAACCCUCCCCUCCACCCGCCUCCGUCUCCCAGUGCUGGGCUCCUGGGCUCCUCAAGGAAGAUGGGGGAGGAGGCAUCUGGUGUCACGGAGGGUCUCAGGGACCCCGAGCAAAUGCUCAAAAUAUGUUUCCUAAUAGAAGCAACGUCAGAAAUGGCCUUGCCAUCUGAGCGGUCUCGUGGGGACAGCCAGGACUGGGCGGCAGGGGCUCGGGGUCCCAGCCUCUGCCUGGCUGCAUACAGGUGGGCCCGUGGUUGAUUCACUCACUCACAGUAGAAAGGGCAGGGGGUGGGCAGGACAAAAUGAUGCAGUCUCGGUUUAAAGACGCAAGCAUGACACAGACACGGCAGGUCAGACUCCCUGGAAACAGGCAUCAGAGAGUCCUGGGGAGGGUCCCGACGCCCACACGCCCUCCUUCGAGGCACCAAGGGAGGGGUUUCUCUAUGUUCGGGCCAGCUGGUCUACCCAAGGCCAGGCCCCGACAACCAGAGACCAGGAUGCAGAAGGAGGGCUGACAAUUUUGGGAAAAAGGAAAAGGAAAGUGUAUGUCCACACAAAAACUUGCAAAUAAAUGUUCCUAGCAGCUUCAUCUUAACCGCCAAAACUUGGAAGCAACCAAGAUGUCCUUCAGGGGUAAAUAAAUAAAUCAACUGGGCUCCGUCCAGACAAAUGAAUAUUAUUCGGCGCUAAAAAGAAAUAAACUCUUGGGAAGGAGAGAGGGGCAAGACAGGGGUGCCAACUAUCAAGUAUAGAAUAAGCCAGGGAGUUCCCUGGUGGCCUAUGGUUAAGGACUUGGCAUUGUCACUGCUGUGCCCCAGGGUGCUGCUGUGGCUCAGCUUCCAUCCCUAGCCUGGGAACUUCCACAUGGUGCAGGCACAGCCAAUAAAUAAAUAAACAAAGGCACAAGGAUAUAUUGCACAACAUGGGGAAUAAAGCCAGUAUUUUAUAAUAACUAUAAAUGAAGUACAAUCUCUAAAAAUUGUGAAUCACUACACUGCACACCUAAAACAUAUAUUGUACAACAACUAUACUUCAAUCAAAAACAAAAGGAAAGGAAAGGAGCUAUCAGGCUCUGAGAAGACACAGAGAAACCAUAAAUGCAAUUACUAAGUGGAAGAAGCCAGUCUGAAAAGGUUGUACAUGGUAUGAUGCCAACGACACGACAUUCUGGAAAGGGCACAGCCAUGGAGAUAGUAAAAAGAUCUCCAGAAGUAAGGAAAAAGACAGUAAAAAGGUGGCCAUGCUUGGGGUGGGGCUGGGGGCUGAGCGGGCAGAGCACGCAGCAUUUUGAGGGUAGUGAAAAUGCUCUAGAUGAUACCAUAACGAUGGAUACGCAUCCUUACAUAUCUGCCCAAAGCCGCAGAACAGACAAGAGCAGGAGGAAGCCCUGCUGGAACCGCGGGCUGUGGGCAAUGACGCUUUCCAUCCGCACCAGGGUACCACCCGGCGGGGACGCUGAUGGUGAAGGAGGCUGUGCACACGUGUAGGCAGCAAGGACAGGAGAUCUGUGCACCUUCCUCUGAGUCUCGCUGAAAACCUAAAAUGUCUCUAAAAAACUAAAGUCUUUAAAAAUACAUACGAUGGCAAAAAGGUGCAGAAAAAUGGAGUAGGUGUGUUUUUCCCAAUUCAUCCC